rnacentral:rRNA from 1 species
GACGAACGCUGGCGGCGUGCUUAACACAUGCACGUCGAACGAUGAAGCUGGCGCUUGCUCUAGCGGAUUAGUGGCGAACGGGUGAGUAACACGUGAGCAAUCUGCCCUUGACUCUGGGAACACUGCGGGCAACUGUCGCUAAUACCGGACACUUUCACCGGGUGGCAUCCCCUGCUGAUGAAAGAAUUUCGGUCAAUGAUGAGCUCGCGGCCUAUCAGCUUGUUGGUAAGGUAACGGCUCACCAAGGCGACGACGGGGAACAGGCCUGAGAGGGUGACCGGUCACACUGGGACUGAGACACGGCCCAGACUCCUACGGGAGGCAGCAGUGGGGAAUAUUGCACAAUGGGCGCAAGCCUGAUGCAGCAACGCCGCGUGAGGGAUGAAGGCCUUCGGGUUGUAAACCUCUUUUAGCAGGGAAGAAGCGAAAGUGACGGUACCUGCAGAAAAAGCACCGGCUAACUACGUGCCAGCCGCCGCGGUAA